rnacentral:tRNA from 1 species
UCCGCAGUAGCUCAGGGGUAGAGCAAUCGACUGUUAAUCGAUCUGUCGCUGGUUCGAAUCCGGCCUGCGGAGCCA